CCCCCCAACCACCCCCAAACCCCUUCAUCCCCCCAAACCCCAAAUUUUUGCCCCCGACUCCCCCCCCCAAACCCCUUCCUGGCCCCGUCCCCACUCACGGAGGCGCCGAGGAUGACGAGGACGUGCGUGGGUGGCCCUGGAGGAAGGCUCCGUCCCGGCUCAGCUCCUGCCGGAGCAUCCCGCACACCUGAGAGCGGCUCAGCUGCCCCCCGGCGCCCGGCGCCCUCACCUGGGCCCGGCAUCGCUCCUGGGGGCCGGACCGGGCACCUGGGGGGCAGGUUCGGGCACUUGGGGGGCAGGGCUGGCACUUGGGGGGCUGGUUCGGGCACUUGGGGGGCAGGUUCGGGCACCCCGGGCAGGAUUCGGGGAGCGGAGGAACAGGUUUGGGCACCCCAGGGCAGGAUUGGAGGGGUUGUGGGGCGGGAGGGGUUGUGGGGCGGGAGGGGUGGGCACUUGGGGGGUGGAUUUGGGCACUUGGGGGGGGGAUUUGGGCACUUGGGGGGCGGGUUUGGGCACUUGGGGGGCGGGUUUGGGCACUUGGGGCACUUGGGGGCAGGUUUGGGCACUUGGGGGGCAGGGCUGGCACCUCGGGGGCGGGAUCGGGUACUUGGGGGUGGGUUUGGGCACCCCAGGGCAGGAUUGGAGGGGCUGUGGGGCAGGAACGGGCACCUGGAGGGAGGGGUGGGCACUUGGGGGGCGGGACUGGCACUUGGGGGGGCAGGGCUGGCACUUGGGGACGGGAUUUGGAGGUUUUGGGGCGGGGUUGGGCACCUGAGGAACGGGAUUUGGCAGUUCGGGGGCAGGCACCAACCAAUCAACGCCGAGCGAGGGCGGGGCUACACCCGGAGGCGUAACCAAUCAGCACUCUCCGCCUCUCGGCGUUGCUAUGGCGCCGCCAUGACAUUUACCGAGGCGGAAGUGGCUGCGGAGCGCCGUGACGUCACGCGCUUCCGGCGGAAGCAGGAAGUGGCGGCGCCGCCGGGAUCCCAAAAUCCCCGAAUUGGGCCCAAAACCGCCCGAGCUCGGCCCCGACCCGGCCCCGACCCGCGCCCCGGCCCCCGGAGCCGCCCAUGA
rnacentral:lncRNA from 1 species